UGGUGGAGUGAUUUGUCUGGUUAAUUCCGUUAACGAACGAGACCCCUGCCUGCUAAAUAGUCAAAUGAGUGAUUUUUCACUGAUUGUGGCUUCUUAGAGGGACGUGCAUUUCAUUAGAUGCAGGAGGAUAGGGGCAAUAACA
rnacentral:rRNA from 1 species